CGCCAGGAUAUACACCCCAAGGCGAUGGGGACUUUUGAACUUUGUUCCCUCCUGUGCCCCAGGACCCAGAACACGUCCUGGCACAUGCUGAGUGUGCAGUCAAGGCCUCCUGAGCGAGUGGCCUCGUGUGCCCUUUGGAAGCAGCUCUUAGACAACAGGCCGCCCCACGACCACUCCAUCCCUGGAAAGGCUACGUCUGCAAAAAACAGGAAAGCUGACCCCACUCAGCUGCAGACUCAUUGCUGAGGGCGAGUCAGCAAGACCGAGACCUCAGGAGAGCAUGCCCAGCGGGCAGGAGGCCUGGGUGCUAGCCCCAGCCGACACCUCCCUGCACCGACUGGCAGGCCCUUCCUGCCUGGGCUGGCAGACGUAUGAAACUCUCAGACCCUGAUCACGACAGAAGGUGGAGGGAAGACAGACAUCAUUAGGCAGGGCUAACUUUUAUUUGAAGCCAGAAAACACCCUAUUGGGGUUCAUCUGUAAUCUGUGACAGUAAAAAAAAACAGGAGAGGAACCAGAACCCAAAGGGCCUGGGGAGGAAAG